UACGUAGGGUGCAAGCGUUAAUCGGAAUUACUGGGCGUAAAGCGUGCGCAGGCGGUUGUGUAAGACAGAUGUGAAAUCCCCGGGCUUAACCUGGGAACUGCAUUUGUGACUGCACGGCUAGAGUGUGUCAGAGGGGGGUAGAAUUCCACGUGUAGCAGUGAAAUGCGUAGAUAUGUGGAGGAAUACCAAUGGCGAAGGCAGCCCCCUGGGAUAACACUGACGCUCAUGCACGAAAGCGUGGGGAGCAAACAGG
rnacentral:rRNA from 1 species